rnacentral:rRNA from 1 species
AUGACAAUGGUGGCCUUCGUCGUUGACGGAGGAAAUGAUGGGACAGUUGCCCGUUGGGGUUUGCGGCCUGUCACAGGUGAUCGGUCGUGGGGGUCGUACAUGAGGUUUGCAAGCAAUCCCAGUAACUCAAUGUAUGGUCAGCCGAUGGUGUAUGUGGAUUUCAUUUCAGUCACUGAUGUUGCCGGAUGCAGUAGCAGGGGUGGUGAGGUCGAGUUGGCCAUCACAUCAGCCCCUAGCAUCGGCCCAUCGGAACCGACGGGCGGCCAGCCUGUGUAUGACACAGGAUAUUGGUCGGCGGCCGUUGACAUGAGCGAACACGUGGAGGGAUUGUCGGAGGCGCUAGAUGAUGAUGAUCAUUCUUCUGCGUCUUCGGAGUCAAGCGGAGAAGAAGAUGUUCCUCCUCAGAGGGCGGUCGCGGCGGCACUGCAACCUGGGUUUUUACAGGAUAUGAGUAUCACCAACGAAUUUCACUCUGCUUCUAGCCUAGGAGCGGGAAGCCUGAAGGUUGGGCAAGUUUUCCCAGAUAAGAAGUCUGCUUACCAGGUAAUGGGUAGCUAUGCAAUCGGCAUCCACCGCCAGCAUAGAGUGAAGCAGUCUGAUAAAAAAGAGUUGAAGGUCAUAUGCAUCCACACAGCGAAAGGUUGCCGCGAAAGAGUUCUCUCUAGACUGAAGCCUGGGUAUGUCAGUCAUGGCAUAUCACAAAAAUAG